UGUUUACUAUUCAGCAAUGUUAAACGAAUGCGGAAAGUUGGCAGUAUUUUCUUUUGGCUGCCGAUGCCAUUUGGGGAAUUUAAUUCUGGUGAAGUAAAGUUAUGUUCUGGAGUUCUUUGUCUUCUUCUAUUUUGUAUUUUUGUUCUUUUAAUGGUUGUGGGGUUAACUGUUUGGACCAAGACUACUAUGUUAAAAAUUAACAUGCCUAUACUUCUGAUACAAUCAGAGUAUAGGUUUCUGGAACCGUUGCGUAGAAAGGGGAUCCCUGGUUCAACUCUUCAGUAAUAAAAGUAAGUUCAGAUUAUUGAACUAUAGAGAGGCUGGAGUUCUGAUUUGCUGUAAAUUUCGUUUUUCAUCAUGACCAAGUUCAUCUUUUUUAUUUCUUGAACAUCUCUUAAGUAUUUACUUCUUUUUUCCACACAGCAUUUUGAGAAUUCUAGAGUCUCUAAUACUUCACUUUCACCAACAGCAGCAGUAGAAGUCCCUGCAGGUUAAUUUGACGAGAUUGAUUAGCUGACCACCGAGGAAGAUUGGUGAAUGCUAGUUUUCAUAAUCAUACGAAAAUUUCUCCCCAACAUAGUGACAAUAAAAAGACAUGCCUUUGCUUUCGGUUGAAUGGUCAUCGUUUCAAAACCAAAUUAUACCAGAUUCUCUAUGACCAGUUUGCUGCAAUGGAUGCUAUUCUAAAUGGGAAAGAUUCAUUUGCGCUCCAGGUAUUCAAGAAUGUGCUGGACAAAUAUUUGAGAGUAAAUUUUGUUGAGACUUUAGUAGCAGGGAUCAGAUGAGGUGUCUGUUGAGGCACACCACUUUAAGCAAAUUGAUCCCUCCAGAAUCUUAAGGUAGAAAAUCGAUGCAUAUUCACUGUAGAAACUUUUCUUCUCUUGCAAGAUAUUCUAUUAUUAUUAUUAUUCUUGCAUGUGAUAUAUAUUCACCAGUUUGUUUAUUUUUUAUUUUUUUGGUAGAAUUAAAAUCAUGGGCAACUUUGACUAGAGCUGUAAUGCUGUAUGAGUCGGAUGUCCACAUGAUAUCUAAAUUAUAGAUGAAAAAAUCUCUGUUCAGUUAUGAGAUCAAUUAAUCAGAAAUUUCUUGCAGUUUGGACAGUGCAUAUAUAUAACUUCAGUUUAUCUGUCAUGGAAAAAAAAAUGAUACUUUAUCACUAGCUUUCUUCAGUUGUUUGGUUUUUUGUUUAAUUUGAAAUCAUUUGAGGUUUAGGACCACAAACAGAAUAGGUUUGGUAGAAUAAUUGAGGAAAUGAUGUAUAAUGUAAGUAUAGGAUAGUACAAUAUAUGUGCCUUAUAAAAUCUGGAAUGAAAGGGACAUUAACCAUUUGUGGUUUAAGACCAUAAACAUGAUGUUUCUCUCUUUCAUUUCUUGUUAGUUGAUUGACUUAAUCUAAUUAAACUUAUUGGAAUUAGAUUAGAAAAAAGCAGGAAAAACAUCAUUUAAGUUUCGGAUUAGGAAUUGGUGAUGCAUAAAAACAUUUAAUUUGAAGGGAAAAAAGGAGAGAAAAGCACAGAAAAGGAGGAGUUGGGUAAUAAUUAGGACUGGAAGGAAAGAAAAGAGGCAAAAAGAAGUUUUGUGGAGAGGCAAGAUUCUCUUGUGGAAGAUGACAUAUGCGAGUAAGUUGUGAAAAGUAAGGAGGAGGGAAUAGAAGGGAAGCUUUUAGUUUGUCUGGUUGUGCAGCCAAAGUUUUUAU